rfam:Lactobacillus vaccinostercus DSM 20634 NODE_42, whole genome shotgun sequence.
CGAGUUCAUUUGAGUCGUGUGAUCUAUUGUCCAUACGAUUCUUCAUAAAAACCAAAGAU